CUCAGAAAACCAAACCCUAGUUAUCGAUCUCUGCUGCAAUGCUGCCAAAGUUUGACCCAUCUCAAGUCGUCGACGUCUACGUCCUUGUGGUCUUAUUCAUCCGCUUUCGGUGCUUAACGGAGGUGUGAGGUGUUAGAAUCAUUGGCUCUCGAUUCGAUUCUUCAUCCGCUUUCGGUGCUUCUGAUCUUCCAGGUCUUCGUCCUCAUGGUGCCUCCUUCUCUAUCAAGGUCGAAUCUUUCUCUCACUUUCCCAGGAUCUAGGGAUUUCUUACACUGGUUUUUACCCAAUAUUUUAAAUUUUAUUUUGUCUUUUACUCAAUUUUACUUGCCUAUUCUUAUUUUUUUCUAAUGCUACUUCUGUAUAUAUAAUUUUCGUUGGUCGGUUUUAUUGAUUUGAAUGUUAAUUUGAUGCCGUUGGACUGUGUUUUAUGUAAUUAUUUGGAUAAGCUAGGGUCAUUGAAUUCAAGUUUUACCCUUUUUUUGCUGAACUUGUUGGUUGAUUUGUUCUUUCAAUAGAUAUUGAGUUUUGUAUAACUUGUUUAAGUUUCUGUUUUUAAAAUAUUGGUAUCUAUACUGAUUCAAUUCGUGUAUAAAAGAAUGAUUUUUAUCAGUUUUUUAAACUACUUUGUUCUUUACUGGGGUGGGGUGUAUGUUCUGUUUAGCUUUUGUUUGAGCAUGCUGGCAUAAAACAGUUUCUUUAGUAUGUUUAUCAAGUCUUUUAUAUUGUGUAUUCCGUUAAAUGAAGCUGGGAUUUUGAUAUAGGGUUGUUGAUACUUAUGUUAAAUAUGUCCUAAUUCUUAGCAUGGUACUUAAGUGGUUUCUGCUGUAAAUAUGGACGUAAAGAGAUUUGUAGUCUUAAGGUGGGCAUGCAAGUCGUGACUGACUGCAGAUAAAGAAACAUACUUACAGGGAAACUCUAAUAAUUCAUUUUCCUGACGGAUGAAAACUGACUUUUUAGUAUGGUUAUGUUCAUUUUAAUUGUAUUUUAUGUAGAUUCAGUUAAAUGAUUUUUGGAGUAGGAUAAAGGGUUGUUACUCUCCAAAUUCUUAGGAGAUUAAUAUUUAAGUGGUUUCUACUGUAAAAAUGGACAUAAAGUUAUAUAUAGGCUUAAGGUGGGAAUGGAAGUAGUUGUUUUGGCUGCCCAUAAAGGAACAUACUUGUAUGCAACCCUAGUUAUUAUUUUUCCGUACAAAAAAGGUGUGAUUAUGCUAGGAUGCAACUUCAACACCAGACUGUGCGACAUAUGGUGCAAAAUUUUCUGCACGACAUUUUAAGCUAAAUUCUCCUGUGUCCAAGUAUUACUUUGAGUGCUAAAUUGCUAAUACAUAUUGGUUACUUGUUUCGCCAGAUCUUUGUACCUUCUUUGAACAUGUGCACUGUUGGUAGCUGUUCUUUACUGUUACAUGUUCUCUUGGAUUUAGUGGUGUGUUAGAAGUUGUGGUUACCUGAACUAAUCUCAGUUCAAACUGAUGUUGCUCAUUCAAAAACCGAGUUGAGGUAAUUUCAAUUUGAACUUUUCUUUUGGUGAUAUUUCUAUUCUUAACUGAACUUUUAAAUCAAUUUAUGUACAUCUGUUCUCUUUUAUGUGAAAAAGAGAAUUUAAACUUGUUUUGAAGCACAGGAGUCUGUUCCAGUAAAAUUGUCAUUAAUCAAUCUCUUUGGUAAAAUAACAGACCUGUAAAUAUAUAGGAGCUACUCUAUGCUUAUAAUGUACUGCCUAAAGAGGAGCAGAUAUUGCUUCAUUUGCUUUUCUUUUUUGUUUUUGUAUGCAAAGGCUACUUUUAACAAAGAUUUUUUAAGUGUUUCCUUUCUAUGAUAUUGAGCAUUAUAUGUUAUCUCAAAUGUUCUCAUCUUCAAUGCGAUGAUCCUUAAAAUCUAAUCAAAGAGGAAUCUCCUUAUCUACUGAAAAGGAAAGGGUGUCUGCUAGUGAGCGGGAUGAUAUUUCAAAUUUGAUGGAACAACAUGAUCAAUUUGUUGGCUCAUUGCAGUCUCGUUUAGCAAAAUUGCAGGUAUGAUUCUGAAUAAACAAAUGUUGAUAAAAUUUUCAAAUGUCUAGUUUAGGUUGUAUGUUGAGGGCAGAUUGUUCCUUUUAUAUUUUGGACGAAUGGUUGAUCAUUAUUUUCAUUUGAGUGCCAGUACAUCUAUAUGAUAUUUCUGGCAGUGGGCUGCUAAUCCUGCAACUGUUGGUUCAGUGACUUUAGGCAUUUCCUUCUCCGCGCCAUUCCUCCAUGUUCCUCAUUCUCUUGAAGCAUUAACCAUCAUGUGCUUUUCUUUUCUGUUAUUUUCUGUCAUAUCUCUGUGACUCCUAGUGAUGCAAUUAGUGGGAUUUUUGCCAGUUGCAAUUGGACUACAGAUUGUUGUCUUUCUUAUGGUUAGACCCGAACCAGGUGAAGUGUUUUAUGGAAGUAGUUGCUGGUUUUAGAAGUCUGGUGUGACAAUUUUUUGUGAAUUGUCUCUUUGUUUGUUGUGCUUAUGUGACGCUCCCAAAAUAGGUAUACAUCACCCAUUUUGAGUUGUCAAUAACAUGGUACAGAAAGAGCUACAACUUUAUUAAUACAACACAUAAACUGUGAGUUUAAAUACAAAUAUUGUCAUCUAGACAAUAUUCACACCCAAAUAAGUUCUCAUUACAAUUAUUGAUACAUUAUUUUACAAAAAUGGUGAGUACUACUAAAAUGACUUUUUAGAACCUUCAUUCCAUACCCCGACUAGUACUCGCUACAUUCUCGCCUCCUGAGAAGAAAAAUGGAACAAAAAAGAAAAUGGUGAGCUCAACUAGCCCAGUAAAGAAUAUUAUGACUAAGAAAAUAUAGAACAAAUUAUCGUUAGUCUUCAACAGGGAAAAAUCUGAUAAAAUACAAUAGACAACAAGUUUCAGAUUAAUAUUCGCAGCGAAAAUAACAAUUCAUAGAAGAGUUACGUAGAGAAUGAAAUCUACUAUAAUCUAUGAAUUUAAAAGUCCAUCAUCAAUAUUUUAUCCCUGUAACACCAAUCAAUAUUCAUCUUGAAUCAAAUAUUAAUCUUUGCACUACAGGCCAACGAUAUUCAUCAGUUGGUCAUGUUCAUCUCAACACUUGUACUUUUUUGCACUACGGGUCAAAGAUAUUCAUAAGAAAAUCAACCAUCUUUGCACUACAGGCCAAAGAUAUUCAGUAAUAUCAUCAUUUAGGACUGAGGAUGAUGAAAAAUAUUUUAAAGAAAACGAAUCCAGUGAAACAAAAGAAUAAAUAUUAAGGAUUCGUACUUUAAACAGUCUAAGUUCAAAAAUACUUCAUAAAUAAUCAUAGUGAAGUAAAAUUCAAGAAUGAUCAAAACAUGGAUAUAAUCAAAGCUAGUAUCCAUAAUCGAUAUUUUGGAAAAAAAAGCAAAAAUUUAAUUUUUCUGUGAAUAGUGCUGUAUUCGUGAAUAGUGUCGUAUACGUGAAUAGUAACUUCGACACUAAAAGACAAUAAUUUCACAAGAAAAAUCUUACCAAUAAUUCGACAUAAUGAUAUUAGAAGAAAUAAUAUUAUUUUUAAAAAAAAAAAUAACAUUCCUUACCUCGAAAAGAAUAGUACUAUGCGUAUACUUGACAUCAUCGCACUCGUUCCUGCAUAUGAUCUUCUAUUCAACGCGUCAGCUACCACGUUUGCUUUUCCAGGAUGGUAUUGAAUGGUGUAGUUAUAAUCUUUUAACAGCUCGAGCCAACGUCGUUGCCGCAUGUUGAGUUCCUUUUGGGUGAAGAAAUAUUUGAGGUUUUUAUGGUCUGAAUAUAUCUCCACUUUCUCCCCAUAUAGAUAGUGCUUCCAGAUCUUUAGCGCGAAAACGACUGCUGCCAACUCUAGAUCAUGAGUAGAAUAAUUCAUCUCAUAUUCUUUAAAUUUUCGCGAGGCAUAGGCUAUAACUUUUCCAUGUUGCAUGAGAACACACUCUAACCCUUUGCCCGAAGCAUCGCUGUAGAUAACAAAUCCAUCCGAACCAGAUGAUAUUGUCAAAAUAGGUGUCGAAAUGAGUCUCCUCUUAAGCUCUUGAAAACUCUUCUCGCAUUUCUCGCUUCAUACGAAUUUGUAUCUUUCCGAGUCAACUGAGUUAAUGGAGUAGUGAUUUGAGAAAAUCCUUCCAUGAAUCUCCGAUAAUAACCAGCUAAGCCCAGAAAGCUACGUACUUCGGUCACCGUCUUCGGUUGCUCCCAAAUUUGUAUUGCUUCAAUCUUUGCUGGGUCAACAGAUACUCCAUGUUUUGACACCACGUGCCCAAGGAAUGCUACUUCCUCAAGCCAGAACUCGCAUUUCUUCAACUUGACAUAUAGCUUGUUUUCACGAAGCCUUUGGAGUACCAGCUUCAAAUGGUGCUCAUGAUCUUCACGGCUUUUGGAAUAUAUGAGGAUGUCAUCAAUAAAGACAACAACGAACUGAUUAAAAUAAUCAUUGAAUACUCGGUUCAUCAUAUCCAUGAAAGUCGCAAGAGCAUUAGUCAAUCUAAAAGACAUGAAUAAGAAUUCAUAAUGCCCGUACCGAGUUCUGAAGGCAGUCUUUGGAAUAUCCUCAGUUCUAAUCUUCAACUGAUGAUAUCCAGAACGAAGAUCGAUCUUUGAAAAGAAUUGUGCUCCUUGCAAUUGGUCAAACAGGUCAUCAAUGCGAGGUAGCGGAUACCUAUUCUUGAUAGUGACAUGGUUCAAUUCCCGGUAGUCAAUACAAAGUCGCAUACUCCCGUUUUUCUUCUUUACAAAUAAAACAGGAGUACCCCAAAGAGAUGUACUAGGACGAAUGAAACUGAUAUCCAACAACUCCUGUAGUUGGAUCUUUAACUCCUGAAGUUUAAUAGGAGCCAUUCGAUAUGAGGUUUUAGAAAUGGGCUUUGUACCAGGUUCAAGAUCAAUAAAGAAUUCAACUUCACGUUCUGGGGGUAGACCGAAAAGUUCUUCAAGAAAUACGUCAGAAAAUUUACUAACAAUAGGAAUAUUUUUCAAAUUCGACGUGUCUUUAUUCAAAUCCAUAACAUGGGCUAAGAAAUCUUGACAUUCGUUUUUCAAUAAACGAAUAACUUUAUUACUUGAUAUGACUGUGAUUGAUUUUAAUGGUUUAGUUGCUUGAAUUCGUAUAACAGGUUGGUUAGGAAUAUGAAAACUAACAACCUUACGAAAACAAUCAAUUUUGGCAUGAUGAGUAGUUAACCAAUCAAUCCCUAAAAUUACAUAAAAAGCAAGUAUCUUUAAAGAGAUAAGAUCAACAGGUAAUGUGAUGGUGUCAACUUGGAUCAAACAAGAUUUAUAAACAGUGGAUGUGAUAAAAAUUUCUCCUAACGGAGUCUCCACAGAUAAAUCAAAGUCUAAUUUCUCCGGAGUUAAGUUUAAACGUUGAGCACAAGCAGGAGAGAUAAAUGAAUGGGUAGCACUGGUAUCUAGUAAGGUAUAAACUUUGCAAGAAUUUAUGAUUAGCUUAUCCGUGAUCACCUCGUUUGGGUUCCUCGCAUUUUGACCAGUCACGACAAAUACUCUUUUAGGAACCAUUGACUUUGACUUUUCUAGGACAACCUUUUGAGUCACCAUCCUCGCUGGACUUGGUUUCGCUACCGUACAACUCGAGCGAUAUGUCCUUCCUUUCCACAAUUAUAACAUACCUUGAACUGUUGUGGACAGUUUGGACUGAUAUGCCCCUCUUUCUCACAUUUAUAGCAUACGACUGGUGGUCGUUCUCCUCCCUUAGAAUCAGUUACUGCUGGUGUUGACGUCUUCACAUGGUCAUUGUUGAAUCUCCUCUUUUUAAAAUCUCCUCCCGACUCGCUUCUUCUAUUUUCAUGGCCAUGAUUACCACCAGAGUGGUUACCGCCUUUGUCCGUAUUUUUCUUUCUCCGCUGGUUAUCGUUGUUCUGAUGACUGUUGUCACCGAUAUGAUCCUGGUUGUGGUCCCUCGUUUGAACGUACUCGUUAUCUCACUCUAAUAAUUGAGCCCUGUUGACAACAUCUGAAUAGAGAGAAUUUAUGAGAAAUGAGAUAUUGACGUAUGCCGGAUUUCAAACCUCUCAGAAAUAUCCGCGUCAUACGUUCCUCAUUCUCCACCAAAUGAGUUACAAACCUGGAUAACUCUGCAAACUUUGCCUCGUACUAGGACACCGUCAUGUUGUUUUGUUCCAAUCUAAUAAACUUCACUUCUUUCAUAUGACGAAUACUUUCAGGAAAGUACUUGUCAUUGAAGAGUUUCUGAAAUGUCUCCCAAGACAUGCUGAGUGCGGCUGGAUGGGUACGCUUCACAGAUUUUCACCAGUAAUCUGCCUCAUUACGGAACAUAAAGGUGGCGAAUGGAACCUUCUGUUCCUCCGUGCAUCCCAAGACAUCGAAUAUCUUGAUAAUUUUUUUGACCCACGUUUCUGCUUUAAUCGGAUCCGGCUUUCCCCAGAAUUCUGGUAGUCCCAACUCUAUGAACUGCUUGGCUAUGACAAACCGUGCGUUAUCAUUUUCACCUUUAUUUUAUGCACGAGUCUCCCUCGUCUGAUUUUGCAUGAACUGCAAAAAGUUUCUAAACAUUCCGUCGUUCAUCAUCUGCUCAGUGUUGUUGUUCACAGGAGGAACAUUGUCAGCCUGUUGCACGUUCUCCUUGUUGGUGGGUAAAAGUGUUUCCACGGUCUCAUUUGCUCCGCUGUUAACAUUCUCAGUCGACAUUCUCAAAUACUGCCAUAAAAUAAGGGUUAAUUAAAGAAAUCAACAUAUCACAUAAUAUCCAUAUAUACUAACCAACCAACAAAUAAGCUUAGGUAAGACACACUAGCGAAUGUUUUACUUGUCUCUCCCCUCCUAGUUCUAUUUCCCGAUCUCCGCCAGAGAUCAUAUCCCUAAGCUCUGAUACCAACUGUGACGCCCCCAAAAUAGGUAUACAUCACUCAUUUUGAGUUGUCAAUAACAUGGUACAAAAACAGCUACAACUUUAUUAAUACAACACAUAAACUGUGAGUUUAAAUACAAAUAUUGUCAUCUAGACAAUAUUUACACCCAAAUAAGUUCUCAUUAUAAUUAUUGAUACAUUAUUUUACAAAAAUAAUGAGGACUGCUAAAACGACUUUCUAGAACCUUCAUUCCAUACGCCGACUAGUACUCGCUACAUUCUCGCCUCCUGGGAAGAAAAAUGAAACAAAAAGGAAAAGGUUGAGCUCGACUAGCUCAGUAAAGAAUAUUAUGACUAAGAUAAUAUAGAACAAAUUAUCGUUAGUCUUCAACAGGAAAAAAUCUGAUAAAAUACAAUAGACAACAAGUUUCAGAUCAAUAUUCGCAGCAAAAAUAACAAUUCAUAGAAGAGUUACGUAGAGAAUGAAAUCUACUAUAAUCUAUGAAUUUAAAAGUCCAUCAUCAAUAUUUUAUUCCUGUAACACCAAUCAAUAUUCAUCUUGAAUCAAAUAUUACUCUUUGCACUACAGGCCAAAGAUAUUCAUCAGUUGGUCAUGUUCAUCUCAACAUCUGUACAUCUUUGCACUACGGGCCAAAGAUAUUCAUAAGAAAAUCAACCAUCUUUGCACUACAGGCCAAAGAUAUUCAGUAAUAUUAUCAUUUAGGACUGAGGAUGAUGAAAAAUAUUUUAAAGAAAACGAAUCCAGUUAAACAAAAGAACAAAUAUUAAGGAUUCGUACUUUAAACAGUCAAAGUUCAAAAAUACUUAAUAAAUAACCAUAGUGAAGUAAAAUUCAAGAAUGAUCAAAACAUGGAUAUAAUCAAAGCUAGUAUCCAUAAUCGAUAUUUUGGAAAAAAAAGCAAAAAUUUAAUUUUUUUGUGAAUAGUGCCGUAUUCGUGAAUAGUGUCGUAUACGUGAAUAGUGCCGUAUACGUGAAUAGUAACUCCGACACUAAAAGACAAGAAUUUCACAAGAAAAAUUUUACCAAUAAUCCGGUAUAAUAAUAUUAGAAGAAAUAAUAUCAUUUUUUAAAAAAAAUAACAUCCCUUACCUCGAAAAGAAUAGUACUUCUGGCUGGAAUAUCAGAUAUAACGCUGAAGGAAUUUGCACUGUAUAGCAACACUCAAAGUAUCAAAAUACUCACAAGAAUAUGCUCGAUAAUAUAGAGAGAAAAUUUCAGUUUCUGGUGUGAUUUUCAAUUUUAACCUAAGCACCUUAUUUAUAGGAAAAUGCUUAGAACACCAAAGCAGAAAAUUUAAUAAAAUAUUAAUAUUUUUAAUAAAUCUUCACGCCCACCUCUUGAAUCUGAAUUCAUCAUGUUUUCAAUGCUAGUGGGCCCACCAACAAUAACAAAAACAUUUUUCUUAAAAAUAAUAAUUAAAACUCCCAAAAAUUAAUUAUUUUGGAACUUCGGAACUUCAAUAAUUCAUAAUAAAUAGGCUUUUUGUCAGAAAAUUAAAACCUUAUGUCUUUUCCAUAGGAAAUUCCAUUAUCUACAACUUUGCAAAAGAAAUUUUUUCCAAAUUCCAAACAGAAAUUGAUCGAAAUUCACAAACGGAUGAUUAUACAGGCUAUAAUCAAAUUGCAGUCAAGAAAUGGGGUCCACAAACAUGAAAAACAUGUUUUAAAUAUUUUUAGUAAAAAAAAUACUCUUCCUCAUUAUUCAUAUAUCCCACAUUUAUUGUAAAAAUAUCAUCAUUAUUAUAUUAUUAUAAUAUAAUAAUAUAUUUAAAUGAAUUAUUUAUCAGAAAAGAUAAAAUAUCAAUUUUUCAACAAUUGUCACUUAAAAAUUUUCUCUAUCUAUGUCCACAUAAAAUGAAUAUUUUCCUUAUCAUAUAAAUCAAUAAUUAAUUAUUCACAAAUAAUAUUACAGAAUCACAAUACUAGUAACCAGGCCGUUCCUAGGAAAGAGGGGGCUUUCCAAUAAGGAUUUUUCUUUACUGGCGCGCAAUUAGGUGACCAAACCUCUCUUUAGACAGAACUUUUUAGACAUUGCCAAUAAUGUUAUCUAAUAAUAUUAUUCAAAUAAUAUGAAUUAUUGAUUCGAUAAAGGAAAAUACUGUGUAAUGACAAUUAUUGAAACAACAAUAAUAUAAAAUAUCAACGCAGCAAUUAUUGAAUCAAUAAAAUAAAAUAUUGAACAGUAAUUACUGUAACAAUUAUUGAGUAGUGCCUUCUUACGUAAGAAUUAAUAAUUGGUGCAAUACCGUGUACUACUGUGUUUUAACCACCGGGUAUUCCAACAGUAUUAACGGUAACAACUACGUCGUUAUUUAUAAAUAACUUAUACUUGUCAUUUUUUUCAUCCAACCGCUUUUCGUUAUGGGGCCCACACAAAGCUGCGCCGUCGUACGAAUAUUCCCCAACAGUAAGAAUAUUCUACGACCAAACUAAUAUUUUUCGACAACAAUAAAUAUUUUAUAACCACUUGCUUAUUUGAAAUAUUUGUGCAUUUUACCCAUAACUAACUACAUUAAUCAAAUCAACCCUUACUAUUUUAAAAUAAUAAAUAGAGGAAAUUCAAUUUCAUUAAUAAUAAGUUGGGGUCUUACAGCUUAGCUCAUCUAUUUCAUGGCCACAAAAUCUAGGUUCAUUUUCUUUUCUUUUUGAGUACAGUUAUAAUGCCUCAUGUUAUGUAUUCAUUUGAUUGAAAGUUUAUGAUAAUAUAAUACCUCAUAUUCUAUUUUUUUUUAUAUUUUUUUUAUAAUUGUAAUCAAGUACAGGUUACUUAUCAAUAAGAUACCCCCUGAUGUUUAUAAGCUGUCUAGGGAGGCAAUACUUGCAGAUGAAUUGCCUGUAGCAUUCACCACGCGAAGCAACUGGAAGGGCCCCUAUCCUCGAGAUAUCCUCUUUACAAUUUGUCAUCAGCACCGGUUAUCAGAACCUGUCUUCUCAACUAUCAAUAUCCCGUUAAAAAUGUCAGAGUUAUGUGGAUCAUACAAGAAGGGCAGCGUGCAUAUAUUGUCAACAUUUCUGGAAAUUCAACUAUUCUUCUCGUGUGCAGGUAUGGUAAUUCAACUUAAUAAUUCAUGAGUUGCCAACUGACUAAUAAGUGUUUUAGAUUUGGAAAUUAUCUUUGUAAUGAUCAUGUGUGGCUGUUGUUUCAUUUGCAGUGCAAAAAAUGCAAUAAUUCUAUGCCGUCAGGUACACAUGUUUCUUUAGUUUGUCUGUGGAUUGAAAACAAAAGUUCUUGUUGGUUGAAUGUGUAAGACCCCAACUUAUUAUUAAUGAAAUUGAAUUUUUUCUAUUUAUUAUUUUGAAAUAGUAAGGGUUGAUUUGAUUAAUGUGGUUAGUUAUGGGUAAAAUGCGCAAAUAUUUUAAAUAAGCUAGUGGUUAUAAAAUAUUCAUUGUUGUCGGAGAAUAUUAGUUUGGUCGUGGAAUAUUCUUACUGUCGGAGAAUAUUCGUACGACGGCGUAGCUUUGUGUGGGCCCCAUAACGGAAAGCGGUUGGAUGAAGAAAACGACAAGUAUAAGUUGUUUAUAAAUAACGGCGUAGUUGUUACCGUUAAUACUAUUGAAAUACACGGUGGUUAAAACACAGUAGUAUACGGUAUUGCACCAAUUAUUGAUUCUUACGUAAGAAGGCACUACUUAAUAAUUGUUACAGUAAUUAUUGUUCAAUAUUUUAUUUUAUUGAUUCAAUAAUUGCUGAGUUGAUAUUUUAUAUUAUUGUUGUUUCAAUAAUUGUCAUUACACAGUAUUUUUCUUUAUUGAAUCAAUAAUUCAUAUUAUUUGAAUAAUAUUAUUAGAUAGCAUUAUUGGCAAUGUCUAGAAAAUUUUGUCUAAGGAGAGGUUUGGUCACUUAAUUGCGCGCCAGUAAGGAGAAAUUCUUAUUGGAAAGCCUCCUCUUUCCUGGGAACGGCCUUGUUGCCUGUAUUGUGAUUCUGUAAUAUUAUUUGAGAAUAAUUAAUUAUUGAUUUAUAUGAUAAGAAAAAUAUUCAUUUUAUGUGGACAUAGAUGAAGAAAAUUUUAAAGUGACAAUUGUUGAAAAAUUGAUAUUUUAUCUUUUUUGAUAAAUAAUUCAUUUAAAUAUAUUAUUAUAUUAUAAUAAUAUAAUAAUGGUGAUAUUUUUACAAUGAAUGUGGGAUAUAUGAAUAAUGAGGAGGAAGAGUAUUUUUGUUACUAAAAAUAUUUAAAACAUGUUUUUCAUGUUUGUGGACCCCAUUUUUUGACUGAAAUUUGAUCAUAGCCUGUAAAAUCGCCCGUUUGUGUAUUUCGGUCAAUUUCUGUUUGAAAUUUGAAAAAAAUUUCUUCUGCAAAGUUGUAGAUAAUGAAAUUUCCUAUGGAAAAGACAUAAGGUACGAAUUUUUCUGACAAAAAAGCUAUUUAUUAUGAAUUCAGAUUCAAGAGGUGGGUGUAAAAAUUUAUUAAAAAUAUUAAUAUUUUAUUAAAUUUUGUGCUUUAGUGUUCUAAGCAUUUUCUUAUAAAUAGGGUGCUUAAGUUAGAAUUGAAAAUAACACUAGAAACUGAAGUUUUCUCUCUAUAUUAUCGAGCGUAUUCUUGUGAGUAUUUUUAUUACUUUGAGUGUUACUAUACGGUGCAAGUUCCUUCAGCGUUAUAUCUGAUAUUCCAGCCAGAAGUACUAUUCUUUUCGAGGUAAGGGAUGUUAUUUUCUUUUAAAAUGAUAUUAUUUCUUCUAAUAUCAUUAUGUCGGAUUAUUGGUAAAAAUUUUCUUGUGAAAUUCUUGUCUUUUAGUGUCGGAGUUACUAUUCACGUAUACGACACUAUUCACGAAUACGGCACUAUUCACAGGAAAAUUAAAAUUUUAUUUUAUUUUCCAAAAUAUCGAUUAUGGAUACUAGAUUUGAUUGUAUCCAUGUUUUGUUCAUUCUUGAAUUUUACUUCACUAUGGUUAUUUAUGAAGUAUUUUUGAACUUGGACUGUUUAAAGUACGAAUCCUUAAUAUUUGUUCUUUUGUUUCACUGGAUUCGUUUUCUUUAAAAUAUUUUUCAUCAUCCUCAGUCCUAAAUGAUGAUAUUACUGAAUGUCUUUGGCCUGUAGUGCAAAUAUGGUUGAUUUUCUUAUGAAUAUCUUUGGCCCGUAGUGCAAAGAUGUACAGGUGUUGAGAUGAACAUGACCAACUGAUGAAUAUUUUUGGCCUGUAGUGCAAGAUUAAUAUUUGAUUCAAGAUGAAUAUUGAUUGGUGUUAUAGGGAUAAAAUAUUUAUGAUAGACUUUUAAAUUCAUAGAUUAUAGUAGAUUUCAUUCUCUACGUAACUCUUCUAUGAAUUGUUAUUUCUGCUGCGAAUAUUGAUAUAAAACUUGUUGUCUAUUGUAUUUUAUUAGAUUUUUCCCUGUUGAAGACUAACGAUAAUUUGUUCUAUAUUAUCUUAGUCAUAAUAUUCUUUACUGGGCUAGUUGAGCUCACCCUUUUCUUUUUUGUUCCAUUUUUCUUCUCAGGAGACGAGAAUAUAGCGAGUACUAGUCGGGGUAUGGAAUGAAGGUUCUAGAAAGUCGUUUUAGUAGUCCUCACCAUUUUUGUAAAAUAAUGUAUCAAUAAUUAUAAUGAGGACUUAUUUGAGUUUGAAUAUUGUCUAGAUGACAAUAUUUGUAUUUAAACUCACAGUUUAUGUGUUGUAUUAAUAAAGUUGUAGAUGUUUCUGUACCAUAUUAUUGACAACUUAAAAUGGGUGAUGUAUACCUAUUUUGGGGGAGUCACAGAAUGUUUGACCUUUCCUUUGUAAGAAUUAGUUUUGCUAUUACUCAAUAUUUUCUGAGACAUUAUAAUUUUUUCUCUUCUGUUGCUAUAAAGGUUUUCUUACCAGUUUACCAGUUUUUCCAGAUAAAUCUCUUUAGAUUAUGUUUGGUUCAAAUGCUACUACAUAUUUUUCUUUCACAAGUC
rnacentral:lncRNA from 1 species